UACGUAGGGCGCAAGCGUUGUCCGGAAUUAUUGGGCGUAAAGAGCGUGUAGGCGGCCAGGUAGGUCGGUUGUGAAAACUGGAGGCUCAACCUUCAGAGGUCGACCGAAACCAUCUGGCUAGAGUCCGGGAGAGGAGAGUGGAAUUCCUGGUGUAGCGGUGAAAUGCGCAGAUAUCAGGAAGAACACCCGUGGCUAAGGCGGCUCUCUAGUACGGUACUGACGCUGAGACGCGAAAGCGUGGGGAGCGAACAGG
rnacentral:rRNA from 1 species